rnacentral:lncRNA from 7 species
GGCAGUUACCUUGUGGCUGCCUCUCCAAAGCCAGCUCUACUCUGUUAAUAAUAUUGAAGCCAGAAAGACCAACAUUUGCAGUUCAGGCACCAACCAUUGCUUGGCUUUGGUGGUACCUUGUGAUCAUGUAUACUUGUGAAGGAAAGACUUUUGUUCUGCUCCAUGCACAGGAAAUGGUGCAGCGUGUUGCUUGGCAUGUUCCUAGUGAGCAGUGUUACAAGAAGCUGUUAAACACCACAUUCAUUAAACACUGCCAUUCCUUUAAUCUUGAGUUUUGCAUUCACAACUUUGUCUGAUUUGUUCUGCCAACUAGCAGUGAAAAUGCCUCCUCAUAAUAAUCAGCUCCUCUGCUCUCUUGAGCACCAACCAAACUUCCAAGGACAAAACUGGAGAUGGGUCUAGUGGGGAAAAGGUUCCUGGGGGCAGCGCCUGACUUGUGUGAUACUCUGCCUUUUGUGGUGCCUCCUCUCUCAGGCCUGCAUCCAGGCUGCCUGGCCCCUCCUUCUUCUAUCUCCUCUGUUCUGGGGCAUUGAGAAGAGCAGCCAAGAUGAAUCAAGCCUGCUGUCUGCGCAAAGAAGGAUGAGUACAGUAGAACUGCUGAAGCCUGAACAUUCAGCAGAGAAACUAUAGCAGACAUGAGUGAAAUGCUAGGUGAUAUCAGAGGUACACAUCCAUGCCUGUAGGAAGAAUUAGAAGUGUGGCAGCUCCCAUCUUCAAACUGGUCAUCCAAAGGCAUGGGCCACCACUCGUGUGAACAUAAGUAUAUCACUUCAUAGUUUAGUUUCCAUCUGACUUGCCGUGGGAUUUACUCUAGCUCUAGCUUUUAAAUGGAAAUGCAAUGCCUUUAUCCCGACUCAGUCUUGCAAUCUUUUCAACCUCAAUACUGAGUCUGAUCAGCACCAGUAUCUACAGGGAGAGACGUAGAAGACCCUGUGUUUAGCAGCAUUAGUUAGCAAAGCAAAGGUAUUUAUUACAAAGGACAGUUUCUUCUUAUGUUUCAAAUAAGUAUAGUUUAAACCCAUACAGAUAAAGUUAUAUCACCUUAACAAUGCAUUGUUUAACUUUAGCCUGUACAAUUAUGUUAUUUUUGGUCAACCUUCUGAGCAACCAAGCCAUCUUUCCUGUCCAAUCCAAGCGUGCUAUGUCUUUCUUCAUUGUGAUAUUAGAUGACACAAGAAAGAUGUAUCACAACAAAGCCAAUUGUCUUUUUUUCAGUGUUGAGAUGGUUAUUUUCCCUACUCUUCUUUUGCUGUGAGCACCAGGAAGAGAAAGUUUGUUCUUAUAGUCUGUCUACAUUGCAAUGGAAAAUCUGAACUCUUCUCCCAAUAUUACAAGUAGUAUAAAGUUUACUAUGUUGGGACUUCAUGGGUCCAGUACAUACUCUGUCACCACUACUAAGGUCAACAGAAAGUGCUAGCACAGAACUUUAUUCUGUGAAGAAGACAUUUCUUUCCUUUCCUUUCAUGAGGAACAAUUGUCUUCUCUACUGCUUAUUUUUCUUUACCACAGUUUUAGCUGUUAAAAAAUAAUAAUGUAUUCAUAGAAUCAUAGAAUCACUUGGGUUGGAAGGGACCUCAAGGAUCAUCAAGUUCCAACCUCCCUGCAGCAGGCAGGGUUGCCAACGACUAGAUCAAAUACUCUAUCAUAUUGCCCAGGACCCUGUCCAACCUGGACUUAAACAUCUCCAGGGACAGAGCAUCCACAGCCUCCCUGAGCAGCCUGUUUCAGCACCUCACCAUACUCUCAGUGAGAGAUACACUGUAUUAAUGCAGUACUUUGGAUUUUACAAACAAAAUCAGCAUUAAUCAUAUUUUCUUCCUCAAACAUAACCAGAUUCAGGCAUAAAGAUGAAAUGUGCUUAGUUCUAGCUGACUCCACAAGUCAUAAGCAAAGCUAAUGAAGAUAAUAAGGAACCGGUACCAGUUUACACUAAGCAGAGUGAUUUACUACAUGCCUUUUUUUUCCUACUUGCUAGACUAUAGCUUGUCCUAUUAAAAUAGUAUGAAGUGGUAAAUGCUUUACUAAAAUAAGAUCACUGUGCUACUUUUAGGUAAUAAAGAACAUAUAUUUUUGAGCACAGAUUUAAUUUUUUUUCUCUCUCAUCUUCCAUAUGCAGCAGGAACAGAAAAAGUUAUUUUUGAUGGAAAGACAGUGGUGACCACAGUCUGUAUUUGUAUCAUAUCACCUAAGAGGUGUAUUUGUGGAUUGACAACUUGGAGUACUGGAUGCAGUAGAAAUUCAGCAGAAGAACAGCUCUAUGUCUUGGAGAGUUUAUAGUCAAGGUAUUGCACAAGAGAUUUAAAUAGAUACUAAAAGAAUGAUGUGAGCUUGUGGAAAGCCAGGACAAUAUUGCCAAGCAUGAUGGGCAGUCUGGUACGCUGCUCUUAUCUACCAAGGUCAGCCAGGAACUUUGCUGGUGCCAUAGCAACUAAUGUAAAAAUGGGAUUGGAAGAUGUUGUGAAUAAGGAGUCUCUGAAACUAUUCCUACUGGGUAUUUAAAAAGGUCCUAUUCCCAUACUGUGUUAUUUCAGCUUGCUGCAAGGACUGUAGGUAGUUUUGACACUUUCAUUUACCAAGUUCUGUUCCCUUCUGAAACCUAAGAAAUAUGCAGAGACAGUGCAGAGCCAUGUGAGUGUCUGAAGGACUGGAGUUCCUCCCGAGGAAGAUGUUUUCUUUUGGUGCUCUCCCAAGGUCCUUCACUAUUUCUGCUUUCACAAAGAAAUAAAUCACUCAGAAAUUGCUUUACUUUUCCUUUCACAGAAGAAUCUAACCAAACAUGUUCAUUUUAUCCCAUCACACUGUUUAAUCUGUGAUUUGACUGAUAUCCUUUGCAGAUGAUUUUGCAAUAAAACUGUUGUUUUGCAUCAUGUUGAUCAAAAGCAUAGUUUGUAUGAGAAAUGUAUUUGUAUUUUUAAACACAGUUUUGAAUUCUGAUACUUGCUUGCAGAAAAAAAAAGGAAAACAGAAUUGAAAUUAGAAAUGGAACAGAAUGUUUGGCAGUCUUCACAAAAGCUUAUUUAUCCUUUAAAAUCUGAAACUGUAAUAAAACUU